GGUGAACGCUGGCGGCGUGCUUAAGACAUGCGAGUCGAACGGGCUCUUCGGAGCCAGUGGCGCACGGGUGAGUAACGCGUAACUGACCUACCCCAAAGUCGCGGAUAACGAUUCGAAAGAAUCGCUAAUACGUGAUGUGCUGUCAGAUCCUGUUCUGCCAGUAAAGAUUUAUUGCUUUGGGAUGGGGUUGCGUUCCAUCAGCUAGUUGGUGGGGUAAAGGCCCACUAAGGCGACGACGGAUCGCCGGCCUGAGAGGGUGGCCGGCCACAGGGGCACUGAGACACGGGUCCCACUCCUACGGGAGGCAGCAGUUAGGAAUCUUCCACAAUGGGCGAAAGCCUGAUGGAGCGACGCCGCGUGAGGGAUGAAGGUCUUCGGAUCGUAAACCUCUGAAUCAGGGACGAAAGACGCGAAAGCGGGAUGACGGUACCUGAGUAAUAGCACCGGCUAACUCCGUG
rnacentral:rRNA from 1 species